CAGACAGACAGGUCUACCAAGAGGAGAGAAUGUGAGACAGACAGACAGGUCUACCAAGAGGAGAGAGUGUGAGACAGACAGACAGGUCUACCAAGAGGAGAGAGUGUGAGACAGACAGACAGGUCUACCAAGAGGAGAGAGUGUGAGACAGACAGGUGUAGUUGGAUGGUAGGACCAAGGGAAUAGAAGAACCAAGGGAUAUCAAAGGUUCCAGUGCGGUAUGCAGAUGGUCGGGUGGGACUGGGGAAAUUGCUCACCCUUUGAAAUGGCCGCUAAUCUGGAAUCACCUGAGAGUUUCCUGACCUGUUUGAUUGUAUUGAGCCUUUAAUCAAGAUCCCACAGCAGCUAUAUAGAUGAUCUACAUAGAACAGUAUGUGUACCUGUAUGUAUUUGAGCAGUAUGUGAACCUGUAUGUAUUUGUACAGUAUGUGUACCUUUAUGUAUUUGAGCAGUAUGUGUACCUUUAUGUAUUUGAGCAGUAUGUGUACCUGUAUGUAUU
ensembl:lncRNA